rnacentral:lncRNA from 1 species
CCUCAGGGCCAGCGUGCACAGAGUGGGCGCAGUAGCCUGAGCUUUGCUCAAGAAGGUCUCCAGACCUGCAGAGAGAACUAGAUGCCAAACACCAGAGGCUCACACACACUCACUCAUGCACACACACACAACAGGCUCACACAAUCCUCUCUACACACUCACUAAUGGACACACAUGCACACACACACUCAUAUACAUACACACGCACACCAGGCGCACACAAUCCUCUCUACACACUCAUGAACACACAUGCACACACACACUCAUAUACAUACACACGCACACCAGGCUCACACCAUCCUCUCUACACACUCACUCAUGGACACACAUGCACACACACACUCAUAUACAUAUGCACUCACACCAGGCUCACCAUCCUCUCUACACACUCACUCAUGUACACACAUGCACACACACAUACAUACACACGCACACCAGGCUCACACCAUCCUCUCUACACACUCAUGGACACACAUGCACACACACACUCAUAUACAUACACACGCACACCAGGCUCACACAAUCUUCUCUACACACUCACUCAUGAACACACAUGCACACACAGACUCAUAUACAUACACACACCAGGCUCACACCAUCCUCUCUACACACUCAUGGACACACAUGCACACACACACUCAUACAUACACACGCACACCAGGCUCACACCAUCCUCUCUACACACUCAUGGACACA